rnacentral:rRNA from 1 species
UGAAUACGAGAUGCUACGGCGUCGAAGCAGUCUAGGUCAUACUUCCAAGAAAAGCUUGCACUGUCAUAAACAAAUAAUGCCUGUACCAUAACCGACACAGGUGGGUAGGUAGAGUAUACUAAGGGGCGCGAAAUAACUCUCUCUAAGGAACUCGGCAAAAUGACUCCGUAACUUCGGGAGAAGGAGUGCCUUAUUUAUAAGGUUGCAAUAACAAGAUCCAAGCAACUGUUUACCAAAAACACAGGUCUCCGCUAAGUCGUAAGACGAUGUAUGGGGGCUGACGCCUGCCCAGAGCCAGAAGGUUAAAGAAGUUGGUUAGCAUCCGCGAAGCUGAUAACUGAAGCCCUGGUGAACGGCGGCCGUAACUAUAACGGUCCUAAGGUAGCGAAAUUCCUUGUCGGGUAAGUUCCGACCCGCACGAAAGGCGUAAUGAUUUGGAUACUGUCUCGGAGAGGGGCUCGGUGAAAUAGACUUGUCUGUGAAGAUGCGGACUACCUGCACCAGGACAGAAAGACCCUAUGAAGCUUUACUGUAACCUGAAAUUGAAAUUGGACUUUACUUGCGCAGUAUAGGUGGGAGGCGUUGAGAAUAUUCUUGCGGGAUUAUUGGAGCCAUCAGUGAGAUACCACUCUUGUAAUGUUAGAUUUCUAACUUUGUAUCAUUAUCUGGUCAAAGAACAGUUUCAGGCGGGCAGUUUGACUGGGGCGGUCGCCUCCUAAACGGUAACGGAGGCGCACAAAGGUUUCCUCUGAACGGGUAGAAAUCGUAUCUAGAGUGUAAAGGCAUAAGGAAGCUUGACUGUGAGACCUACAAGUCGAGCAGGGACGAAAGUCGGUCUUAGUGAUCUGACGGUGCUGAGUGGAAAGGCCGUCACUCAACGGAUAAAAGUUACUCUAGGAUAACAGGCUGAUCUCCCCCAAGAGUUCACAUCGACGGGGAGGUUUGGCACCUCGAUGUCGGCUCAUCGCAUCCUGGGGCGGUAGUACGUCCCAAGGGUUGGGCUGUUCGCCCAUAAAAGCGGUACGCGAGCUGGGUUCAGAACGUCGUGAGACAGUUCGGUCCAUAUCCGGUGUAGGCGUUAGAAUAUUGAGAGGAGCCUUCUUUAGUACGAGAGGACCGAGAAGGACAUACCACUGGUGUACCAGUUAUCGUGCCAACGGUAAACGCUGGGUAGCUAUGUGUGGAGUGGAUAACCGCUGAAAGCAUCUAAGUGGGAAGCCCACCUCAAGAUAAG